CGACCUCCCGGGCCGCCCCGGAUCCACACCCCCGCCCACUCUCGAGGAUGUCUUCGCCGGCUGCAGACCGCUCAGCGGGUAACAGAAAUAACCAGAAAUUGAGGAGAGAAAGAAAUAGCUGUAGACUAAUAAGGAUCUCUGCGCAUGAAUUAGAGCAGGCCUGUAUUGGAGGCAAUCACCUUUGCGGCUGCCAUGAGGGCGUGGAGACUUUCCCUGAAGAGCUGCCCUUUGAAGGAAGGACGGACCGAAUUGGACAGAGGGGGAGAGAAGGAAGAGUGUGUUUGCCAGAAGGAACCACGAAGAAGCAAAGUCCUGAAGUGCAACCUCAUCCGGGUCACCCUGGCGCACCUAGGCCCACGGCCUCCGCCCCGGCAGGGCUGCAGUUCUCCAACGCGCCGCGAGGUGGCAGCACAGGGAAACCAGCGGCUCACCGGGCCCGCCCGACCGCGGCCGGCCUUCCGCGCGGCCGGGAGUCGUCCCCACAGGCCGAAGCCCCGAGAAGAGCUCCUCCCCUGCCUUUCUGAGCUGCUUCAGUGGAGCGUGUGACGGAGCCAGGAACUUCUCAAGGGGGCCGCGGCCUGCAGUGACUCAGCCACUUCGCCGAGGCCCGGAGCGGCGGGCGUGCGCAGUGCCCUGGAGAGGCCAAUAGGCACUAUUUCCAUGCUGAAAUGAAGAAAUGACUGGGUAUGAAAUGACUCGUGGAAGGCCACACAGCAAGUUGGAAGAAGAUUCUGGAUUAGAAACUUGAAAUUUCCAUGUCUUCCCCAGGAAGCAGCAAGCCUAAGUAGAUCAGCACUGUGGCUUGUACACAUACAGAUAUGGAUAGCUGAUGUUUCUCUUUAGGGCAUUUUUAGAUACAAAAAUUUCCGGAUGCAAUUCUGUUAGCAGAGUCAAAUGCAAACCUUCCCCAAGUCUGCAUUCAACUUUUCUGACUUUAGAGGUCAUCUCUCAGCAACAGCUGAGUCGCCAGCAUGUUGGUUCUUCUGAAGACCCUGUUAUGAAAAUAGUUAAUGAGCAAGAGCAGAGAAAGUGGGCCUGGAAUCCUCGAAAUGUUCCCCAAGGACAUAACAACUACCGCAAACCAACACUUUGUGCCACCUAACGUGCCCACGGCAAGAAGCUGCCUACUGAAGGAAGAUUGGAUGAAUUUGGUCAAGGACAUUAUACAAAUCUUUUCCACAUGUUGGCUGAGCCUUUAUGGGCCUAUAACUUGGUUUUCUGAGAUGUAAUUUGGUUUCAAUUGCAGUCUUAAUUCUAGAUUUGCCUCAUACCAAGUAAUAAGUUGGGUCUUACUCCAGCCUUGUCCAAAAGUCUUCUCUAACCCUGCCAUGCUGGGUAAGACACCUCUUCUCUGAACUCCCAAAAUACCCUUUGCAUUUUACUAUGACUGCUUUCUCUCCAUUGUUCUAUAAUCAUAAUUAUCUUUAUUUAUCUGAUUUGACUACUGGAUUGUGAGCUUCUUUAAGGACAGCAAUAUUGUUUUGUUUAUCUCUUCCUUGCUUGGCACAUGGUAGAUGUUUAACAAAGGCUUUAAAAAUAAGUCCCUGGAUACAUGGAUAUAUAUAUGCAUAUAUGAAUGAACAAAGUGAGUGAGUGAAUUCAUGCAAGGACAAACACAUUACCAGGCACAGUAGAAUUAGUGGUUCUGCUAUGGUGCCAAAAAUUCCAACCAGUUAUCUGCUGUAGGUGUCAGAGCUGAUUUAGAUCCCAUGUUGCACAUGGUGCUCAAUGUGAAAAACAGACAUAUAGCAGCUAAGUUGGUUAUAAAGUGAGAUUCUGAGUCAUAAAGUCCCGUUUGGGUAGAUGAGUUCUGGAGGAGAUAGGCUAGGUUAGGACACAGAGGUAAACAGAGGGGUAUCAGGGAGAGCGGGGUAAACACUGGGCCUUUGAACCAGUGGGGUUGAGGCCUGGGCAAGCGAAAUGGGGGCAUAAGGAAAAGGGGAGCAGGUCUGGUUGUUGGGGAGCCUGCUAACUUAGGGACCUUGGUUCCCAGGCAUUUGUCAGGUCAUUGAAAAAGAAGUAAGGGAUCAAAGGUUGAGAUCUUUGCAACUAGUCUAGAAACACUUGCACUGUUGCCAAUGGGAACCAGUCUAGACCAUUUGCACUGGUGCACUGGUGCCAGUGGGGGCUUCUGAAGCGAGAAGUCAGGCGUCACAGCUGUGACCAGGUAGUGCAGGGCUCCCGCUGCUCUGCAGCUCUUCCAGCCAGGAGGAGGGCAGGUGCCUCCUGUCACCUGCCACACUUAACACAGCAAUUUUGAUCCACAGAAUGUAGUGAAAAAAAGAAUUUUUAAAUCAUGAAAUUGAGAGUCUUCAGGCAACUAUUAGAGAUUUAAUUCCCUGCUUUCUUUAUUUAUUUCCUAAUACUGAGCUCUGGCAGUCUUUUUCCCUUUGCCACAGGAUGAGGAAUACUUGUAGUAAGAAAAGAAUCUGCACACACACACACACAGUCCCUGAUGUCUAGCUGCUUACAACUGAAACAAUGAUUCUGACACUGAAAAGGAACCCAAUAUGCAAAGAGCAGAUAUCCGACCCUGAACAAACAGUGUGAAUGUUAUGGUCAAGUCAAAACAAGAGAAGGAAGAAUGAGGCUUACUUCUUGAAAAAGAGGUGGUUCUAGUGAGUGAAAAUAAUUCCCUAGGGAGUCUCAGAAAAUGGCAGGGAUUUGAUCCAAAAAGUAAAUUAUCAGGACAAGUUAAAGCAGAGUAGGAGAAUUAUCGAGCUUCUAUGGGGCCUGUCUGUGCAUGGUUAAGGUAUAAUUUAACACAGAGCAACGUAUGUUUUUUUGUUACAGAAUAUGGAGUCGUUGCUUGCUGGUUGUCUGCAUGUGUGUUUUAUAGAAAAAACUGAGAGCUUCCCUUGGCCGCUGCCGUAGCUGCUCUGAGCCAGCAGACUGCUGAAUGGGAUUGUGGGAGGAGGUCAGAUUUUACCCAGGGUGGCCGUCUGUCUCCUCAUCCACUGUUCUCAGACCCUGGUGACCUCAGAUCUUGAAUCAUUAUUGCCGCUUUUACUAAUAAAUAUCUAAGUCUGUG